rnacentral:rRNA from 1 species
UAGGGAAUAUUGCACAAUGGGCGAAAGCCUGAUGCAGCAACGCCGCGUGUGCGAUGAAGGCCUUCGGGUCGUAAAGCACUUUUCUGGGAGAUGAGAAAGGACAGUAUCUCAGGAAUAAGUCUCGGCUAACUACGUGCCAGCAGCCGCGGUAAAACGUAGGAGGCAAGCGUUAUCCGGAUUCACUGGGUGUAAAGCGCGUGCAGGCGGUUCGGUAAGUUGGGCGUGAAAUCUCCUGGCUCAACUAGGAGAGGUCGUUCAAUACUACCGGACUUGAGAGUGGUAGAGGAAGAUGGAAUUCCCGGUGUAGUGGUGAAAUGCGUAGAUAUCGGGAGGAACACCAGUGGCGAAGGCGAUCUUCUGGACCAUUUCUGACGCUCAGACGCGACAGCUAGGGUAGCAAACG